rnacentral:rRNA from 1 species
AGUGAACGCUGGCGGUAGGCCUAACACAUGCAAGUCGAACGGCGGCACAGUAAGAGCUUGCUCUUACGGGUGGCGAGUGGCGGACGGGUGAGGAAUACAUCGGAAUCUACUUUUUCGUGGGGGAUAACGUAGGGAAACUUACGCUAAUACCGCAUACGACCUACGGGUGAAAGCAGGGGAUCUUCGGACCUUGCGCGAUUGAAUGAGCCGAUGUCGGAUUAGCUAGUUGGCGGGGUAAAGGCCCACCAAGGCGACGAUCCGUAGCUGGUCUGAGAGGAUGAUCAGCCACACUGGAACCGAGACACGGUCCAGACUCCUACGGGAGGCAGCAGUGGGGAAUAUUGGACAAUGGGCGCAAGCCUGAUCCAGCCAUACCGCGUGGGUGAAGAAGGCCUUCGGGUUGUAAAGCCCUUUUGUUGGGAAAGAAAAGCAGCAGGUUAAUACCCCGCUGUUCUGACGGUACCCAAAGAAUAAGCACCGGCUAACUUCGUG